rnacentral:rRNA from 1 species
GGGUUGUGAGGUUAAGCGACUAAGCGUACACGGUGGAUGCCCUGGCAGUCAGAGGCGAUGAAGGACGUGCUAAUCUGCGAAAAGCGUCGGUAAGGUGAUAUGAACCGUUAUAACCGGCGAUGUCCGAAUGGGGAAACCCAGUGCAAUUCGUUGCACUAUCGUUAACUGAAUACAUAGGUUAACGAGGCGAACCGGGGGAACUGAAACAUCUAAGUACCCCGAGGAAAAGAAAUCAACCGAGAUUCCCCCAGUAGCGGCGAGCGAACGGGGAGCAGCCCAGAGUCUGAAUCAGCUUGUGUGUUAGUGGAACGGUCUGGAAAGUCCGACGGUACAGGGUGAUAGUCCCGUACACCAAAAUGCACAGGCUGUGAACUCGAAGAGUAGGGCGGGACACGUGGUAUCCUGUCUGAAUAUGGGGGGACCAUCCUCCAAGGCUAAAUACUCCUGACUGACCGAUAGUGAACCAGUACCGUGAGGGAAAGGCGAAAAGAACCCCGGCGAGGGGAGUGAAAAAGAACCUGAAACCGUGUACGUACAAGCAGUGGGAGCACCUUCGGGUGUGACUGCGUACCUUUUGUAUAAUGGGUCAGCGACUUAUAUUCUGUAGCAAGGUUAACCGUAUAGGGGAGCCGCAGGGAAACCGAGUCUUAACUGGGCGUUAAGUUGCAGGGUAUAGACCCGAAACCCGGUGAUCUAGCCAUGGGCAGGUUGAAGGUUGGGUAACACUAACUGGAGGACCGAACCGACUAAUGUUGAAAAAUUAGCGGAUGACUUGUGGCUGGGGGUGAAAGGCCAAUCAAACCGGGAGAUAGCUGGUUCUCCCCGAAAGCUAUUUAGGUAGCGCCUCGUGAACUCAUCUUCGGGGGUAGAGCACUGUUUCGGCUAGGGGGUCAUCCCGACUUACCAACCCGAUGCAAACUACGAAUACCGAAGAAUGUUAUCACGGGAGACACACGGCGGGUGCUAACGUCCGUCGUGAAGAGGGAAACAACCCAGACCGCCAGCUAAGGUCCCAAAGUCAUGGUUAAGUGGGAAACGAUGUGGGAAGGCACAGACAGCCAGGAUGUUGGCUUAGAAGCAGCCAUCAUUUAAAGAAAGCGUAAUAGCUCACUGGUCGAGUCGGCCUGCGCGGAAGAUGUAACGGGGCUAAACCAUGCACCGAAGCUGCGGCAGCGACACUAUGUGUUGUUGGGUAGGGGAGCGUUCUGUAAGCCUGCGAAGGUGUGCUGUGAGGCAUGCUGGAGGUAUCAGAAGUGCGAAUGCUGACAUAAGUAACGAUAAAGCGGGUGAAAAGCCCGCUCGCCGGAAGACCAAGGGUUCCUGUCCAACGUUAAUCGGGGCAGGGUGAGUCGACCCCUAAGGCGAGGCCGAAAGGCGUAGUCGAUGGGAAACAGGUUAAUAUUCCUGUACUUGGUGUUACUGCGAAGGGGGGACGGAGAAGGCUAUGUUAGCCGGGCGACGGUUGUCCCGGUUUAAGCAUGUAGGCUGGUUGUCCAGGCAAAUCCGGAUAAUCAAGGCUGAGGUGUGAUGACGAGGUACUACGGUGCUGAAGUAACAAAUGCCCUGCUUCCAGGAAAAGCCUCUAAGCAUCAGGUAACAUCAAAUCGUACCCCAAACCGACACAGGUGGUCAGGUAGAGAAUACCAAGGCGCUUGAGAGAACUCGGGUGAAGGAACUAGGCAAAAUGGUGCCGUAACUUCGGGAGAAGGCACGCUGGUGUGUAGGUGAAGUCCCUGCGGAUGGAGCUGAGACCAGUCGAAGAUACCAGCUGGCUGCAACUGUUUAUUAAAAACACAGCACUGUGCAAACACGAAAGUGGACGUAUACGGUGUGACGCCUGCCCGGUGCCGGAAGGUUAAUUGAUGGGGUUAUCCGUAAGGAGAAGCUCUUGAUCGAAGCCCCGGUAAACGGCGGCCGUAACUAUAACGGUCCUAAGGUAGCGAAAUUCCUUGUCGGGUAAGUUCCGACCUGCACGAAUGGCGUAAUGAUGGCCAGGCUGUCUCCACCCGAGACUCAGUGAAAUUGAACUCGCUGUGAAGAUGCAGUGUACCCGCGGCAAGACGGAAAGACCCCGUGAACCUUUACUAUAGCUUGACACUGAACAUUGAGCCUUGAUGUGUAGGAUAGGUGGGAGGCUUUGAAGCGUGGACGCCAGUCUGCGUGGAGCCAACCUUGAAAUACCACCCUUUAAUGUUUGAUGUUCUAACGUUGGCCCCUUACCGGGGUUGCGGACAGUGUCUGGUGGGUAGUUUGACUGGGGCGGUCUCCUCCCAAAGCGUAACGGAGGAGCACGAAGGUUAGCUAAUCCUGGUCGGACAUCAGGAGGUUAGUGCAAUGGCAUAAGCUAGCUUGACUGCGAGCGUGACGGCGCGAGCAGGUGCGAAAGCAGGUCAUAGUGAUCCGGUGGUUCUGAAUGGAAGGGCCAUCGCUCAACGGAUAAAAGGUACUCCGGGGAUAACAGGCUGAUACCGCCCAAGAGUUCAUAUCGACGGCGGUGUUUGGCACCUCGAUGUCGGCUCAUCACAUCCUGGGGCUGAAGUAGGUCCCAAGGGUAUGGCUGUUCGCCAUUUAAAGUGGUACGCGAGCUGGGUUUAGAACGUCGUGAGACAGUUCGGUCCCUAUCUGCCGUGGGCGCUGGAGAAUUGAGGGGGGCUGCUCCUAGUACGAGAGGACCGGAGUGGACGCAUCACUGGUGUUCGGGUUGUCAUGCCAAUGGCACUGCCCGGUAGCUAAAUGCGGAAGAGAUAAGUGCUGAAAGCAUCUAAGCACGAAACUUGCCCCGAGAUGAGUUCUCCCUGAGACUUUAAGUCUCCUGAAGGAACGUUAAAGACGAUGACGUUGAUAGGCCGGGUGUGUAAGCGCAGCGAUGCGUUGAGCUAACCGGUACUAAUGAACCGUGAGGCUUAACCUUACAACGCCGAAG